rnacentral:rRNA from 1 species
GUCGAACGGGAAAGUGGAGCAAUCCAUGAGUACAGUGGCGUACGGGUGAGUAACACGUGGGUGAUCUACCUUUUAGUGGGGAAUAACCCUGGGAAACCGGGGCUAAUACCGCAUAAUCCCGAGAGGGGAAAGCAGCAAUGCGCUGAAAGAGGAGCCCGCGGCCGAUUAGCUAGUUGGUAGGGUAAGAGCCUACCAAGGCAGAGAUCGGUAGCCGGCCUGAGAGGGCACACGGCCACACUGGCACUGAAACACGGGCCAGACUCCUACGGGAGGCAGCAGUGGGGAAUCUUGCACAAUGGGGGAACCCUGAUGCAGCGACGCCGCGUGAGCGAUGAAGCCCUUCGGGGUGUAAAGCUCUUUCGGCAGGGAAGAUUAUGACGGUACCUGCAGAAGCAGCUGCGGCUAACUACGUGCCAGCAGCCGCGGUAAUACGUAGGCAGCGAGCGUUGUUCGGAGUUACUGGGCGUAAAGGGUGUGUAGGCGGUUCUUUAAGUUUGGUGUGAAAUCUCCCGGCUCAACCGGGAGGGUGCGCCGAAUACUGAGGAACUAGAGUACGGGAGAGGAAAGUGGAAUUCCUGGUGUAGCGGUGAAAUGCGUAGAUAUCAGGAGGAACACCGGUGGUGUAGACGGCUUUCUGGACCGUAACUGACGCUGAGACACGAAAGCGUGGGUAGCAAACAGGAUUAGAUACCCUGGUAGUCCACGCCCUAAACGAUGCAUAUUUGGUGUGGGCAGUUCAUUCUGUCCGUGCCGGAGCUAACGCGUUAAAUAUGCCGCCUGGGGAGUACAGUCGCAAGGCUGAAACUCAAAGGAAUUGACG